UGGCCUGUUAAAGAAUGAGUGUGAUGUGCAACAGAGAGCCCACCCCAUCCAGGGUUUGUUCUUGCUUUAAACCCAGAACUCCAAGAGUUCCUGCCAGUGAUGGUUGGUAUUGGAAAAGUGGCGAUAGAAUGUGACAAAGAAAAAAAGCAAGUACAACUGUUGCAAAGAGAUGAUAGCAAGUUCCUGAACAGCAUUUGAUGGUGGUAGGCACUGGAGGCAGCAGAUUUCCUUGAUUUAACCUCUUAAAUGCAGAUCACACACCUUUCACUCUGCAGAAGAACAGAUGAAUGCAGCUGCCACGCUGGAGAGGGAGAGAGAGAGAGAGUGAGAGAGGGGGAAAAAAAAACUGCAGCACAUGGCAAAAUGAUGAUCACAGAGAACUGAAGCCCAUCCCAUGCAGCUAAGCAGUCCGUCACAGGUUAUUGUGAUGUGCCCACUCACAGCUGGCCAGGGCACGAAGCAGAAAAUGGCCGACAGUGGGGUAAC